GUGAGGAAUAUUGGUCAAUGGCCGAGAGGCUGAACCAGCCAAGUAGCGUGCAGGAUGACGGCCCUACGGGUUGUAAACUGCUUUUGCGGGAGGAUAAAGUGCGCUACGUGUAGCGCUUUGCAGGUAUCCCGUGAAUAAGGACCGGCUAAUUCCGUGCCAGCAGCCGCGGUAAUACGGAAGGUCCGGGCGUUAUCCGGAUUUAUUGGGUUUAAAGGGAGCGCAGGCGGGCUGUCAAGCGUGCCGUGAAAUCGCGGGGCUCAACCCCGUUGAGCGGUACGAACUGGCGGUCUUGGUUGCGGGAAGGGGAGGCGGAACUCGUGGUGUAGCGGUGAAAUGCAUAGAUAUCACGAAGAACUCCGAUCGCGAAGGCAGCCUCCCGGCCCGUCAACGACGCUCAUGCUCGAAGGCGCGGGUAUCAAACAGG
rnacentral:rRNA from 1 species